AGAGUUUGAUCAUGGCUCAGAAUCAACGCUGGCGGUAUGCUUAACACAUGCAAGUCGAACGCAACCAUUCGUGGUUGAGUGGCGGACGGGUGAGUAACGCGUGAGAAUCUGGCUUCAGGUCGGGGACAACCAUUGGAAACGAUGGCUAAUACCGGAUAAGCCGCAAGGUGAAAGAUUAAUUGCCUGAAGAUGAGCUCGCGUCUGUUUAGCUAGUUGGUGGGGUAAGAGCCUACCAAGGCGACGAUCAGUAGCUGGUCUGAGAGGACGAUCAGCCACACUGGGACUGAGACACGGCCCAGACUCCUACGGGAGGCAGCAGUGGGGAAUUUUCCGCAAUGGGCGCAAGCCUGACGGAGCAAUACCGCGUGGGGGAGGAAGGCUCUUGGGUUGUAAACCCCUUUUCUCAGGGAAGAAAGAAUGACGGUACCUGAGGAAUCAGCAUCGGCUAACUCCGUGCCAGCAGCCGCGGUAAUACGGAGGAUGCAAGCGUUAUCCGGAAUGAUUGGGCGUAAAGCGUCCGCAGGUGGUAGUGCAAGUCUGCUGUUAAAGGUUUGGGCUUAACCCAAGAUCGGCGGUGGAAACUGCACAACUAGAGUGAGGUAGGGGUAGAGGGGAUUCCUGGUGUAGCG
rnacentral:rRNA from 1 species